CCGGACCCCGCAGGCACAGCCGGACCCCGCAGGAACAGCCGGACCCCGCAGGAACAGCCGGACCCUGCAGGUACAGCCGGACCCUGCAGGCACAGCCGGACCCUGCACCUUUCGCCAACGCUGACGGGGGUUUUCUGGUGGAGUUGUUGCUUCCUUUCCCUUUUGACCUCGAAAGAGAAUUCC